rnacentral:rRNA from 1 species
AACGAACGCUGGCGGCAUGCCUAACACAUGCAAGUCGAACGAGACCUUCGGGUUUUGUGGCGCACGGGUGCGUAACGCGUGGGAACCUGCCCUUAGGUUCGGAAUAACUCCCCGAAAGGGGUGCUAAUACCGGAUAAGGUCUUCGGACCAAAGAUUUAUCGCCUUUGGGUGGGCGCGCGUUGGAUUAGCUAGUUCGUAGGGUAAAAGCCUACCAGGGCGACGAUCCAUAGCUGGUCUGAGAGGAUGAUCAGCCACACUGGGACUGAGACACGGCGCAGACUCCUACGGGAGGCAGCAGUGGGGAAUAUUGGACAACGGGGGAUGGGCUGAGCCAGCAAUGCCGCGUGAGUGAUGAAGGGCUUGGGGUUGUAAAGCUCUUUUACCCGGGAUGAUAAUGACAGUACCGGGAGAAUAAGCGCCGGCUAACUACGUG